rnacentral:lncRNA from 1 species
AGCUCAGCGCCGCUCCUGGGGGCCAGAGAACCCGCAGGGAGCGCGACCCCUGUGUGUGCUGUGCCUUGGCGACUGUCCGGGGGACGGCAGGCGACCGCAGGGCGAGGAGCUGCCCGCCAGGGGGUGGACCGAAUGUAAGAGUCGCCCCCCGAUCCGUUGCUCUCUCCCGCUUCCAGCCCGCACCUCUCCGCUAUCCGUGUCCCAUUGGAGGGUUUGCGAAGGCAAAGUAAGGCUGCCCGAGGCGGGGGAGGGGGGGUCUCACAAAAGACCACAGCGGUAAUUCGCGGGAUAAGAAAGGAAACACUUAUCAGCACACGCCUUGGCUAGAGGGGAAACAUUAAGUGGGAUUCUCCUCUGUGCAGCUGGACGCCCAGUGUACUCCUGGCUGUCGAUGCACGCAAGACCUGAAGUCAACCUGCCCAUUUUCCUGGUGGUGGCCUCGGUGGGAAGUCCAGGUAGAAGCGAAGAGAUGGCCCCUUCACAGGAGGGAGCAGCCCGGCACCGCAGGACCCGAGACUCUGCCAAGGAGCCCGCAAGUUCUUCAUCUGUCCCGCUUGUCUCAGGCGCCAAAGAGGACCCAGAGAACAUCUUGCCACCCCGACGCCCUUCUAGUGCGAGGUGAUUGUGAGCUGCUUUGUGCAACUUUCCCAACGCUCUUGUCUAUUCCCCUGCUAAUUGACAGUGCCCGUCAGAAACGAGCAGAGACUUGGGGAGGGGUAUCUGUGAAGUCUGUGAGAGAUGAUCGGAUGAACAUCCCUGGACGUCUCUUCCAAGCAAGAUUUCUUUCAGGAACCUUUUGUGAAGCAUUGCUUCGCACUUUUUACGUCCUUUAUCUCUUCCGUCAUUGCUUUUCUUUCUUCCUUUAACAUUUUCCUAAGUAGCAAAAACAGCUCUGCCCCUGCGAGAUUGACACAGUGGAGUUUGGAGUGGGAAGAGAGAUCAAUAAGAAAAAGAAUUCCUCUCCAAAUACAGAGUAAAGUAAGAAAGAGCAAAUGUACUCUUCCUCCUAAUAAAGGCGCUUAUAAUAACA